UGGACGAAUUGAAAUUGCAAAUCAAGAAUCACUCCAUUAAGAACAGCAAAGUCAUUACUUCAACAUGGCAUUUAAACAUACAAACAGAACAGCCAGAGGCUGAACAUCAAAAUUACAAAUAAAACCACAAAAACUAGCAAUACAUUAGAUUCUAAUAACAGAAAACACACCACGCAUAUUGUUAGUAACUUCUAAACACGACCAUCCCACAGGCAAUCUGAGUUAACUUUUCCGCCCUUCAACAGACACUCAAUUUCUUCAGGUGGGUUCAGACCCAAACGUUGAGCACGCUCCCAUCUCGCCAGCCGGGUCAUCCCAAGGCACGGCCCAUAUGCCAUGUUCAUGUCAAAUUGCCUCAGCACUUCUUCAUGUUUGUCAUAAUCAUCUACCAAAACCAAGAAAAAAGCACCAAAAUCUUGAAUAAUGAUAUUUACUUAUCCAGAAAAUUAUAUACAGCAAUCGAACCAUGUACUCAUUCCAAAUGAUUAUAACUCUCCAAAGUUGUUAUCAGUUCAAUAAAAACAGAAACUUUAUUUCUUUAAACCCCAAAUUGUUACCAAUUUCAAGAUUGAAUUUUUCAAAAAAAUAAAAACCCUUUACAGAAAGGCAUUAAAUAAGCCCCAAAAAUAUAACCAACAAGAAAAACACAGAAUAACAGAAGCACACAACAGAGCAGAAAGAAAAAGGACUAC
rnacentral:misc_RNA from 1 species